rnacentral:rRNA from 1 species
AAUCAACGCUGGCGGCGUGCCUCAGACAUGCAAGUCGAACGCGAAAGUCCCCUUCGGGGGACAAGUAGAGUGGCGCACGGGUGAGUAACACGUAGGUAAUCUACCUUCGGAUGGGGAAUAACAACCGGAAACGGUUGCUAAUAUCGCAUAAUGCAGCGGCACCUAAUGGUGACAGUUGUUAAAGCGGGGGAUUGAAAGACCUCGCGUCUGAAGAGGAGCCUGCGGCGGAUUAGCUGUUGGUAGGGUAACGGCCUACCAAGGCGACGAUCCGUAGCCGGCCUGAGAGGGCGGUCGGCCACACUGACACUGACAUACGGGUCAGACUCCUACGGGAGGCAGCAGUCGGGAAUUUUGGGCAAUGGGCGAAAGCCUGACCCAGCAACGCCGCGUGAAGGAUGAAAUCCCUCGGGAUGUAAACUUCGCAAGAAC